GGGGCUGACAUUGGAAUCGACAGGAAAGGGAACUGGUUGGUAAGCAUGCCGGAGGAUCAUAUCUCACUCCGUUAAUAAAUGGAUAUGACCCAUUUAAUUGGCAAAUCUAACUUUGCCUUGGCUGCCUAAUUCUAGGAAUUAGAAAGCCUUUGUGCCUUUCGUUUGACACCUGCUACACAGCGAAAAGGCACAUCAACAAACUGCAGGUUAGCUCAAUGGCAGGCCUCGGGCCGGCGAGUGAAGCUCUUCGAGGCUACGGAUCAAGUUGGCUGGUCAUUGAGCAGGCUUGAUCCGGAAAUCAAAAACAAUGACUAAGCAUGUAGAAGGCCAAUGAGUACUUUCGCUGGACCCGGGUUCGACUCCCGGCAGCUCCACAA
rnacentral:tmRNA from 1 species